rnacentral:rRNA from 1 species
UACGGAGGGGGCUAGCGUUAUUCGGAAUUAUUGGGCGUAAAGGGCGUGUAGGCGGCUCUGUGUGUCCCAUGUGAAAGCCCUCGGCUCAACCGGGGAACUGCAUGAGAAACUGCGGAGCUUGAGUCCGGGAGAGGUGAGUGGAAUUCCCAGUGUAGCGGUGAAAUGCGUAGAUAUUGGGAGGAACACCAGUGGCGAAGGCGGCUCACUGGACCGGUACUGACGCUGAGACGCGAAAGCCAGGGGAGCAAACGGG